CCAUAAUGCAAGUUUGGAGAAACACCCACACGGAGCCGGGGCUUCUCCCGUUU
rnacentral:tRNA from 1 species